CUCCUACGGGAGGCAGCAGUGGGGAAUAUUGCACAGUGGGCGAAAGCCUGAUGCAGCGACGCCGCGUGAGGGAUGACGGCCUUCGGGUUGUAAACCUCUUUCAGCAGGGACCAAGCGCAAGUGAGUGUACCUGCAGAAGAAGCACCGGCUAACUACGUGCCAGCAGCCGCGGUAAUUC
rnacentral:rRNA from 1 species